rnacentral:lncRNA from 1 species
AAAUUUCAAAUGUUGGGUUUACUGAGAAGUAACAAAAGGAAUCACAUUUUUUUUCUAGCGGUUAGUUAAGAAAUCAUUCAUGCAGGUUUAUUAAAUUUGUUUUACAUUUAUCGAACAGUGGGUAAAAUAGAACAGCCACACACACGGUAUACCCAUCAUCGCUUCAGUUUUUUAAUGAUCGUAUUUGUCCUAUUAGAAUCGAAAUAAUUCAUGGAAGCCAUAGAUUUGUUGUAAAUUUACACAUGGCCUGGGCCGUGAUAUUCGUUAAUUUUAUCCCUCGCUAACGCUCAGGAUAAAAUUCGAAUAUCACGGCCCAGGCCAUGUGUAAAUUUCCAACAAA